UACGUAGGGUGCGAGCGUUGUCCGGAAUUAUUGGGCGUAAAGGGCUCGUAGGCGGUCUGUUGCGUCAGGAGUGAAAACUCGGGGCUUAACCCCGAGCCUGCUUCUGAUACGGGCAGACUAGAGGUAUGCAGGGGAGAACGGAAUUCCUGGUGUAGCGGUGAAAUGCGCAGAUAUCAGGAGGAACACCGAUAGCGAAGGCAGCUCGCUGGGACGGUACUGACGCUCAGGCGCGAAAGCGUGGGGAGCGAACAGG
rnacentral:rRNA from 1 species